UUUCUUUUGCUAAUUUCAGUUCUUUUUUUUUUUUUUUUUUUAAAGAUUUAUUAUAUGUAAGUACACUGUAGUUGUCUUCAGAUACACCAGAAGAGGGCAUCAGAUCUCAUUUCGGGUGGUUGUGAGCCACCAUGUGGUUGCUGGGAUUUGAACUUCGGACUUUCGGAAGAGCAGUCAGGUGCCCUUACCCACUGAGCCAUCUCACCAGCCCUAGUUUCAGUUCUUAACAGAGUACUUUUGUAUCCCACAGGUUUCGGCCCCAUCAGGAUGCAGACCCUGAGAAGCCACGCGUUGCAGCCAUCAUCGACAGGCUCAUUGCUUUUAAGAACAAUGACAACGGAGCCUGGGUCAGAGGAGGAGAUAUUAUUGUUCAGAAUUCAGCGUGAGUGUCAUCUACAGAGAUAAUAAUCUGCCGACACUGCUGGCUAUUUUUAAGUUUUUUAUUUUUAGAUUUUUGAAGACAGGGCCUGAGGUGUCCCAGGCUGGCCUUGAACUUGAUGUGUAACAAGACCUUGAACAGAUCUUUAUAAGUAUUGUCAGCAGUGAGGGCCACCACAACCAGUUGGAUUUUUUUUUUUAACUGAGUAGAACGAAGAUACAGUUGUAGUCUCUGGAAUUACUUUAUUAGUAUUAACGGACUGGAUGGGCUCUGAGGAUGAACGUUACUGCAGAGGUUUGGAUCUCUCUUAUUCUGGAGCUUUUGAUGGAAAUGAACUUGUCUAGUGACCUGAGAGGCCUUCUGUAGGUCGACCAGAAAGCCAGAAUUUAGCCUUUUUCUAACCAAACACUGUUUAUGCCAGAGGGCUAAAUAGAGACUUUGAAACUGCCUCAGGGUUUUGAUUUUUAUUGUUGUUCUUUUUGGAAACACUGUAAAGUUUGUCCUGUCUUCUUUCCACUCCUCUCAAAAUGAAAGUUGUCUAAUUCUGUCUUAAUACGCCUGCCGACUUGUGUGUUACUGGAGGCAGGAAGCAUCUUGCUUGUUUUUUUUCCACUUGAAUGAUUUUAAGAGAGAGGCCUGUUGCAUUCUGAGUUCAGUUUUACUGUUCAAAGGUCUAGCAAAAAAAGUUUUGAUUUUUCUCUGACCAUGUUCACCCCCAAAUUUAACGUUGUAUUAAAUCUGUAGGGAAGGCAUACCUCUCAGACUGAGAAGUUGUGAAGCAAAGAGUAUGAUAUAAUUCUUUCUAAAAAUAAAGAUUAAAAACACAUUUUAGCUAGUACCUUUAUAUGGUAAGUUCCAGAUACUAUUCAAAUACCUGCAAUUGUUUAGUAUAUUUAAUUCUCUCGAGAAUCAUAUAAGAAAUGUAUCAUUAUUUCAAUCUAUGGAUGAGAAAACUGAGGUGAAGGGCCUGAGAACCAGGUCACAGUUGGCAAUGUCAGUAUUUGAACUUGGCACUUUCAUGGAGAUGGUACUUUGUUGACGGGAGGUUGGACUGCUGUGUGGUUGCAGAGUUGAGCAUCAGGAAUCCGGGAUUUCAUGGUCACACACCGAGGGACUUGCCUCUCCCAUGUUUCCUGAUCACUUAGACAAAUUCUCACCUUUUCCCUCUUACAGAUUUGCAGAUAACGGAAAGGGGCUGACCUUUGCCAGGUUUGUAACGGCUUUAAUUUGAUUAUUUUAAAGCUUUAAGGUAAAACCAUCCUUAGUAUUUUUGCCUGUGUGUUUUGGAAUGGGGGUGGGGAGUUAUUAACCCAGAGAGGUUUUAUAAUUUAUUAGCAUAAAAAAAUUAAUAGAAAG
rnacentral:lncRNA from 1 species